rnacentral:lncRNA from 1 species
AUCUCAUUUGCUCCAACAUAAAUCUAGUCACGACCUUACAUUGCGGUAUGUAUCCUCAUAUGCCUCCAUGUGACAUCUCUUCCACUAUGUCAAUCGAGAUCUCCACCCUUCACAAAAAACCCUCUCUUAUUUUAUAUUUCCAAGUUACAAAACCAAGACAUGGCCACAACCUAAGCAUGGAUAGCCCGAUCCGACCAACCUGACCC